CGCAACGUGUCUCGAAUUCUUGUUUUACUCUUGUAUCAGGUGUAGAGAUUAAUUUUGUGCUUUCGUCUCUGGAAACAUAGCGUUGGUAUUGUUUCGGACGAUCAAUUGAAACGUGGACUGUCGGCGUUAAUAUCAGGCAAAUUGGAGGUGUCGACGUACAGUUAUGAAACAUUACAUCACCCUCGUUCCUGUAUCGAUUCAAAAUUCAAUUUUCUAUCGCAGGCGAUGUUUAGUCCCUCGAAACGGUAUAGUUUUAAACAGGAGAUUUCCCUCCAUUCUGAGCAGUCCUUGUUUACCAUUUUGCUAGCGUGUAAAUAAACGAUGCAUCGAAUAACACGUUGCAGGAAACUUUUCCAAGAUGGUCCCUUAACCUCACCUUCAUUUUUCGUUCGCACAGUCGCAUCUAAAUCAGAACUUUCGAAUUGGGAAGCGUGCCUCGUUAGACGCGUCGGCUGCGCCGCGUUGCAUGAAAUUGGAAUCGCUGGUCGAAGUUUAAAAUACACGCGUCGAGGAGUGAACGUCUCUGUUAGAUUUGACGCUCGAAAUUUCCUUUCCGUCGAGUCGCCAAAUCCACUUUCGGUCCUAGACAGGUAGCACGCGGAUCCUAGCAUACUCGAAACUGUACAGGAAGUGCAACACUUCGGUUCGAAGCAGAGCUAGGUGAAGUUUAUAGACGAAUACGUUUUGAAAUACUGAUUUUAAACGAUAGGUUUUUUGAAUUGGAUCGUUAUGGAGGUUCUGGAAAAAUCUUUUCUUGCGUGAAAUAAAAUAAUAUUUCAAUUUGGAAAUAUGACGUAUAAAGUGGUUAAACUUUCCGUUUCGACUGCUAUCUUUUGCUAAGAAUAAGUUCAGGAAAGAAGUAAUAUUACAACGCCGGGAAUAAUAUUAGGAAAAGUAACGUGCACAAACUGCGCUGGACAGAUUAUGUCUUAGAACCAACCGUUUCUGUUUCGCAAUAACUUCGAAUUCGAGAUUCUCGCCUAAAUAUACCAGCAAUUCUAAUUUUACAAUGCCGCGAAUAAGCUGGAAAUAAAUUGAGAUAAAUAAAAUAUUUCGGAAUAAAGGCUCCUCGGUUUCCAGUAUUCCACGAAUAAAUUUCUAUCUCUAAAAACUCGUCACGACAAAUAAACCGUCUCGAUUUCGCAAUCUCCGCGCUAGAUUUAGAAUGAAAUCGAUUAUUUACUAUUUGGAAAUGUAUUUCGUCUAGCUCUGGCGUCGAAACAUUCGAUAACAAUGGUCGAUUAACAAUUCCCAGGAGAAUCGGGAGAAUGGAUCGUCACUGAUCAAACAUGAUUGAUCUAGGGCUGCGCUUAUAUUUAUGCAGUAUCACUAAUGAUCUCAAUCUACGCAUAGAAACCUUAACGUACUUUACAAUAAUACAACGUAUGCCAUAUAUCACAGUUUCAAAUAAAAAUUACAGUAAACGCUAUAUACACAUAUAUAUAUAUACAUCUACGUAGCUAAAUAUUUGUAGGAGUUACAAUCAUUGUGUUAUUAAUAAUCAAUGGUUUUUUUUUUAAGGAAAUCAUUAUGCUAAAAGAUAUUAUUUUAGUACAAGUUUAGAAAUAGACUUAAAAAUAAUCAUUAAACAUUAGUGUCCGUCGCAAUAAAUAUAAAAGGAAAUAGUAUGAAGUAUCAGUGACAUCGCGAUUCUUAAUAAAAUAUUUUUAUUCGUAUAUAUGUAUCUAAGGUUUAUCAGUGAUUUUAGUAUUCCAUUAGGAAUCGCAGAUGACUCUAGAUAUUCAAUUACUUUAUAAUAAAUAACAUAUACAAUGCGACAAGAUAAAUGCUUAAUAUGGACUUUUCCUAGACGAGUUACCUAUUGACUUUCUUGUUACUAAAGUGACUAAUGUACAACGAACAGCCAAGAUUCAAGAGGGAAGCAAGCAACGAUUUAAGUCAUAGUAAAAUAAACGCUUUGGCUAGCGAAAGCAGAAUGUUCGUUGGAUAAAAUUGAUCGAACAAUGUAACGUCAAUUUUUGGAAACCUUGAAGUUCGACGAUAAAAUAAAAUUGAA